UCUCUUGAAUCAGAGAGUGAGGAUGAUCAAUCUGAAGAGGAAUUGGGAACAACCUUAGAGACAGGAACAUUUACACCU